CCUACGGGGGGCAGCAGGCGCGCAAACUUUACAAUGCGAGCAAUCGUGAUAAGGAAACCCUGAGUGCCUGUCGAUGCAGGCUGUUCAUAUAUCUAAAUCAUAUGUGAAGAAAGGGCAGGGCAAGACCGGUGCCAGCCGCCGCGGUAAUACCGGCUGCUCGAGUGAUGGCCACUAUUACUGGGUUUAAAGCGUCCGUAGCUUGACUGUUAGGUCUCUUGGGAAAUCUUCACGCUCAACGUGAAGGCGUCUAAGAGAUACCGGCAGUCUUGGAACUGGGAGAGGUAAACCGUACUUCGGGGG
rnacentral:rRNA from 1 species